rnacentral:lncRNA from 1 species
AGGACUCUUAUGAAUUUCAUAUACAUACAACUCCAGUUCAUUUAUAUGUCUCACUUUUUAGAGAUAAAAUAAAAGAUUAUAUUUCAUCCAAACUUAUUUAUAUGUGAUUGUUUUUUCCAACGGCAGAUGAUUAAUUGAUUUUGUUGGUUAAAGUGAAAUCUUUUACUAAAAUUUCGUAACUAUUCAUUUUUUUUUCUUAUUUAAAUUUGGAUAAUUAAUUUUUUUAUUGAUUUGACUUUGUUACAAUUAUGAAUUGACAUAAACAAAUAUAUAUUU